GGCCUCGUAGCUCAGCUGGUAGAGCGUGUGCCGUACAAAGGCGUAGGCGGCGUCCAUGUGUUGGUUCGAAUCCUACUGAGGCUG
rnacentral:tRNA from 1 species